rnacentral:rRNA from 1 species
UGGUCAAGUUAUUAAGGGUGCAGGGCGGAUGCCUUGGCACUAGGAGCCGAUGAAGGACGUGAUAAGCUGCGAUAAGCUUCGGGGAGUUGCACGUAAACUUUGAUCCGAAGAUUUCCGAAUGAGGAAACUCACUUAGAGUAAUGUCUAAGUAUCAUUAAGUGAAUACAUAGCUUAAUGAGGGGAACUCAGGGAACUGAAACAUCUAAGUACCUGAAGGAAGAGAAAGAAAUUCGAUUCCGUAAGUAGCGGCGAGCGAACGCGGAUUAGCCCAAACCAAUAAAGUUUUCUUUAUUGGGGUUGCGGACAUAUCAUAACGGAGAGGUAUCGUAAUUGAAGAGGUUUGGAAAGACCCACCACAGAAGGUAAUAGUCCUGUAUGUUAAACGAGAAGACUUUAGAUAUGAUCCAGAGUACCACGGGACACGUGAAACCCUGUGGGAAGCAGGAGGGACCACCCUCCAAGGCUAAAUACUACCUAGUGACCGAUAGCGUAUAGUACCGUGAGGGAAAGGUGAAAAGAACCCCGGGAGGGGAG